AAAUUUAUCUGGGGAUUUUGUUAAAAUACCUAUUCUGGUUUAGCAAAUUCUCAAGUAUAGUCUGAGAUUCUGCAUUUCUCACAAACUCCCAGGUACCCAU
rnacentral:pre_miRNA from 1 species